AAUGAACGCUGGCGGCGUGGAUUAGGCAUGCAAGUCGAACGCGAAAGUUCCCUUCGGGGAGCGAGUAGAGUGGCGAAAGGGUGAGUAAUGCUUGGAUGACCUGCCCUCGAGACGGGGACAACAGUUCGAAAGGACUGCUAAUACCCGAUAGUCCGGUUUAGAUGCGUCUAGAUCGGUAAAUGGUGCUUCCGCUCGAGGAGGGGUUCAAGUCCUAUCAGCUUGCUGGUGAGGUAACGGCUCACCAAGGCGAUGACGGGUAGCCGGACUGAGAGGUUGGCCGGCCACAUGGGAACUGAGACACUGUCCUGACUCCUACGGGAGGCUGCAGUCGAGAAUCUUCUGU
rnacentral:rRNA from 1 species